rnacentral:rRNA from 1 species
UGAGCGACAGAUCCGCCCUAGUUCUACCAUAUACGAUGCCAGCUAGCGAUCCGCCGAUGUUCCUCCAAUGACUCGGCGGGCAGCUUCCGGGAAACCAAAGCUUUUGGGUUCCGGGGGAAGUAUGGUUGCAAAGCUGAAACUUAAAGGAAUUGACGGAAGGGCACCACCAGGAGUGGAGCCUGCGGCUUAAUUUGACUCAACACGGGAAAUCUCACCAGGCCCGGACACCGGAAGGAUUGACAGAUUGAUAGCUCUUUCUUGAUUCGGUGGGUGGUGGUGCAUGGCCGUUCUUAGUUGGUGGAGCGAUUUGUCUGGUUAAUUCCGAUAACGAACGAGACUCUAGCCUGCUAAAUAGGCGUAUUUUGGUAUCUUGAAAGGCCCUUGGUUUUCGGAUCAAGUGGUUUUUACUACCGACGUAUAUAUUAUCUUCUUAGAGGGACAGGCGGCUUCUAGCCGCACGAGAUUGAGCAAUAACAGGUCUGUGAUGCCCUUAAAUGUUCUGGGCCGCACGCGCGCUACACUGAAAGAAUCAACGUGUCUUCCCUGGCCGAAAGG